UUGGGGAGGGAAAAAAAAUAUAUAUAUAUAUUAAGUCAUUAAAAGGUGAACUUUUUUCCAAAUUAACUCCAUAAUAUCGACAGAAACAUGGCAAACCGGUGUUUAGAAUCAAUCCUCAAGGUGUUUUUCACAUAUCUAUCGACGAUAAAAUCCAUCGUGGCAGUUUACUUUCUCUUCUGAAGAAAUGGAACGCGCAUGGAUCUACAGAUUACGCACACAGGACACCGGGCGGGACACCAGGUAAAUGUAGUCUCUUAUGGUCAAUCUUCCAAUGAUGUGCCUACAAACACGUCACAAUGCUGCAGACACCUCGGGGAAACGACAGAAACCGCAGGCUCAUUCCUGGCGCAUUCACAGCCAUAUAAGGAGACAUUGGAACACAGCGGAUUCAGAAUCUGGGGCAUUUCCUGUAUGAAACAUCAUCUUGGUUUCGCCUGUUGCAUUAGUUCUGGGGCACUCACAGAUAAUAUCUUUGCAGGUUUGGAGACGUCAGAGUUUUGUCUUUCCAAGGCUGUCAAUUCCAUGCAUAGUCGAGCAUCUUUUCGUCACAAAAUAUCGCGCUUAAAACGGGCACGUCUUUUUAUCCAAUAAUGACAUUGCGCACCCAUAGAUUGAAGAGGUUAAAUGGGCUCGCGGGCCGUAGUUUACCCGACUCUGGACUAGAGGUAACACUCACUGUCUGACAGGGAACUAUCAGGAUACUGAGUUUAGACACCAGAGGUAACAGGGAACUAUCAGGAUACUGAGUUUAGACACCAGAGGUAACAGGGAACUAUCAGGACACUGAGUUUAGACACCAGAGGUAACAGGGAACUAUCAGGAUACUGAGUUUAGACACCAGAGGUAACAGGGAACUAUCAGGAUACUGAGUUUAGACACCAGAGGUAACAGGGAACUAUCAGGAUACUGAGUUUAGACACCAGAGGUAACAGGGAACUAUCAGGAUACUGAGUUUAGACACCAGAGGUAACAGGGAACUAUCAGGAUACUGAGUUUAGACACCAGAGGUAACAGGGAACUAUCAGGAUACUGAGUUUAGACACCAGAGGUAACAGGAAACUAUCAGGAUACUGAGUUUAGACACCAGAGGUAACAGGGAACUAUCAGGACACUGAGUUUAGACACCAGAGGUAACAGGGAACUAUCAGGAUACUGAGUUUAGACACCAGAGGUAACAGGGAACUAUCAGGACACUGAGUUUAGACACCAGAGGUAACAGGGAACUAUCAGGAUACUGAGUUUAGACACCAGAGGUAACAGGGAACUAUCAGGAUACUGAGUUUAGACACCAGAGGUAACAGGGAACUAUCAGGAUACUGAGUUUAGACACCAGAGGUAACAGGGAACUAUCAGGAUACUGA